rnacentral:rRNA from 3 species
CAUGGAAUAAUGAGAUAGGACCUCGGUUCUGUUUUGUUGGUUUCCGGAAGCCGAGGUAAUGAUUGAUAGGGACAAACGGGGGCAUUUGUAUUGUGGUGUUAGAGGUGAAAUUYGAUGAUCMCCGCAAGACGMACAACUGCGAAAGCAUUUGCCAAGAAUGUUUUCAUUAAUCAAGAACGAAAGUUAGAGUUUCGAAGACGAUUAGAUACCSUCCUAGUUCUAACUAUAAAMUAUGCCAACUGGGCAUCUGGCGCUUGCAAGUAAGCAUCGCCAGGCACCCCSSGGGAAACCAAAGUUAUUGGGUUCCGGGGGGAGUAUGGUUGCAAAAUCGAAACUUAAAGGAAUUGACGGAGGGGCACACCAGAAGUGGAGCCUGCGGCUCAAUUUGACUCAACGCACGAACACCUACUCGGUCCGAACACCG